AGCAUAUAUUAAUGAAGGCAGCUCUUGCUUCAGUGGUUGGGAGCAAAACCUUCGUGUUCGAGGUCGGGAGUUCGAACCUUACCUCUUACAAAUAUUUUUGGAUCUCGUAUAUACUUGUUAUACGGACGUAUAUACGGUAUGUACGGUAUACAUACGUAUAUACGGCCUGUACGGUAUGCAUACGUAUAUACAGUUGUACAGUAUGCAUACGUAUAUACGGUCUGUACGGUAUACAUACGUAUAUACGGUAUGUACAAUUUCAUACCGUAGCCGAGCUGGAAAUAGUAAGCCCAAUUGUUCGGCCCGAUUUGUAGGCCAAAAUAGUAAGCCCAAUUGUUCGGCCGAUUGGUAGGCCCAAAUAGUAAGCCCAAUUGUUCGGCCCGAAUGGUAGGCCCAAAUGUUAAACCCAAAUUGGUUCGGGCCGGUUUAAAUGUGGAUGGUUCGAUUUCUUCGGCCCAAUUGGUCAGCCUUAAUGCUUAGCCCAAGGAUUGAGCAAGCCCAAGUCAUCAUCACUAGGUGACAUGUUUUAUUGGCGUGCUUUUGAGAAUGAUUUGUUUUGAGUGAUGCUAAUUGAGUAGCGAAACGCUUUGUGGGAGUGUUUAUUGUGGUUGUAUGCCAGUACAGGAUGACGAUCAGUGUGAAAACAACAAUAUGUGCAAUGCCACGUGGUGAUUUGAGUGUGGGUUGCUUGAAGCAAUUGUUGUGUUGUAAUUUUGAGAAAUGAUGCGGUGAAGGAAUGUCAUGUUGAUGACUUAAGUGGGAAUGAGGAUUUCAUUUGUGAAUUCUGGUUUUGUGAAUUUACAUCGUGAUGAAAGGAUUUAGUGGCCAUAGGAAUGUAUUUUUAUACGAAGGGCUGUGGCUUUGUGGAUUACUACAGUUUUGGGAAGGAUGGAGAUUCGAUGGUUAGGUCAACCUUAAUCAAGAGGAAUUGACUUACGCUUAAAUUUCGGGACGAAAUUUCUUUAAGGAGGGUAGAUUGUAAUACCCGAAAAAUUCAAAUUAAUGUCCGAUGACAUUUUGGAAAUGAUUUCGUAGGCGUGGGCACGAAUACGAAGCUUGAAGGAGUUGUGGAAUUAGUUCGAACGAUUUUAUUUCGAAAACGAACGUUAUUUAGGGGGUCUUGAAAAGUGACUUCUUAUACGUACAGAAUUUGGGAAAACUUUCUUCAUGAAAGUUGUAGAGCUCGUCGAUACGAUCUCGUGCAUAUGUGGAACGCAAUAUUCGGAGUUCGUAUGAAUAAGUUAUGAAUAUUUGAAAAUUGGGAAUUUUCUAUAAAUAUCAACAAAAUGUUGACUUUUUUCAUUAAGGACGAAACUUUUCUGUUUUUGCGGAAUAGUCCCCCGGAUUCUCUCUCUCUCUCGAUCGAAACCCUCAGACCCGGCGGGUCGUGUUCGACCCGACCCGGCUGGUUCUCUCCCCUCCGGCCUCCUCCAGCCCCGGACCCGGACUCCUCCGUGAUCGCCGCUCCACGCCCAGCCGUCCCCUCCCAUCGCUUCGCCCAGACGCUGCUCCAAAAGCUGGAUCGAAGCCACCCAGACUCUUGAUUCGGACCCGGCCGGAAAACCACUUUUCCGGCGUUGCAUGGGCCGAUCGUUCCCAUUUUUGUGAUCUCCUCCUCAUGCUGAUCAUCCCCAUGAUUAAUCCGACUUCCAAGCUUGAUCUAGGACGAUCUAGGCCAAACCAGACUUAGCUCCAGGUAUGGAAGUCGACCACCCUUUCAUUUUGAACCAGUUUGUAGUUGGUCACUUUGCCAUCUGAGGUGGUUGACCGGCGUUGACCGCCGCGUUGACCGCCCACUGACCACCGCUUGUGGCGGCGCAUCAGACCAUAUUUCGAGUUUUCAUUAUCUGGGCGAUGAUCUAUGCAUCCAUACGAGCGUUUUGAUAUAUUACAAGGUUAUGUUAGAAAAAGUUGGUAAAUAGUGGAUUUACGUUUUUACGUUACUAUUUACGGUUUUUACGUUUUAUCUUCGGUUUACGAUCUACGAAGAUCAGACCAUCGGUUUUACUUCAAAUUUUAAUAUGUUGAUCGUAUGACUGUCCCGGUGACUUUGUGAGGUCACGGGCGAAGAUCCGACCGUUGGAUCUUCGUAUAUUUGAGAAAUAGUGAUUCGGAAGGCGAUUCGUGAGAAUCCGACCGUCGGAUUUUCAUAUAAUUUUGUGGAGAUGUUAGUAAGGGCGAUUCAGGAAGAUCUGACCGUUGGAUCUUCGUGAUAAUUUUGGAGGAUGAUCCUAAGGGCGAUCCGUGAGGAUCCGACCGUUGGAUCAUCAUAUAAAUUUGAUCUGACCGUUGGAUCAUCAUUAAAUUAGAAUCCGACCGUUGGAUUUCUGUAUAUGUGUGGUCUAUGAAUGAUUUCUAAGUUAAGAUCGUGUUUGACUAGGUGGUUGAUGGAUUGAUUGGUGAACGAUUUCGGAUCGUUGUUUUUGAGCUGUUAAGAAGACGCAGCGGGAAUUUAGAGGUGAGUAAACCUCACGUGGUUCAUAUUACGAACCGAAUAAAUUUAAUUACCUUAUUUUGUCGUAAUUGCGUGAAAAUAUUUAUGAAAUAAAUAUUUGUUUUAAAAUCAUAUGGACUUGAUCAACCACGGUCCAUGGGGAUGUAAAAUGAUUUUUAUUAUACAAAAUGAAUUUCACGAUUUUCUUGUGUGAACUAUAGUUGGUAUUAGUGGUCAUUCCUGAGUGGGUGAUUACGUAUAUAUAUAUUUACGUGAUUAUAUGUGGAAUGGUGUGACAUUGAAGAGUGUGGAAAUUGGGAUGAUUAAAAUACUAUGAAUUGAAAUUUGACUUAUCAUAUUUAUAUGUGAUGAUCAUGAUUGAUGAGUUCUUGUUAAUAUUCAUGAUUUACAUUGGAGUAUGUAUAGAGUUGGAGAAUGUAGGAUUCUGAGGACGAGGUGUCCGAAGUUUGACGGUUAUGGAUAACCGGAGUGUUUGUGUACUGAGGACGGGGAUGUCCAAAGUGCGACGGUUUAUUAUUAACCGAAGUUGUGUACUGAGGACGGGGAUGUCCAAAGUGCGACGGUUUAUUAUUAACCGAAGUAUAUGGUGCUGAGGACGGGGAUGUCCAAAGCGCGACGGUUAUAGUGUUAACCGAAGUAUUUUGCCGUUGCUUGACCCUAGGCCAAGGUGUCAGAGGUAACGAGGCAGUUAGAGCUCUAACGUGUUAUUGGGAUGGACCAGAGUGGUGUUAUGUGGGUUGGGUGUUUACAGGACCAGUGUGGUGUAUUGUGAUUUGAGGAUUGUGAAAAUGUAUUCCUUGUGGUUUCCAUGAGUGGGUUGAUGUCUCUUUGCAGACGUAAUACUGUUGAAUUUUACUUGAAUUGUAAUUUAAUAAAUCAACAGUUCUUUCUUGUUUACUCAUACUGGCUGUAAAAAGCUUACCGGGUUUUGUGUUGUUGCAACUCCCGGUACACUAUUCAAAUUGUGUAGCGGGUAAUCCUACAGGACAGGAGAACCAGGACGGUGAUCGUGCGGUUAGAGCAAUGGUUAUAGUUUUACAGCAAUUGUAAUAGUGAGGCGAGUUAAGCUCAUUUGAGCCUUACAAUUUGAUUUGGUGGGAGUGUGCUGUAAUAAAUAACUUGAGGAUUUGGGUUAUUGUAAAUUUGAGAGUUGUGAAGUGUGGUUGUUUGUGAGAAAAAAAUUCAGGAUGUUAGUUGUAAUUUGUUAUUAUUCAUGUUUCGGAUUUGAAUUGAUUAUUCAAAAUUCGGGGCGUGACAUAAACCUAGGUACCUCCCUGGGUUAUCCACCACUACCAUACCUAGUAAUUCACACAUCAGCCGCUGCAUUUGACAGGGGGUAUUCGGAGAGAAGAAAAUACUUGAUUUUUCGUUGUUGAUCAGUUGGCCUGAGGCCAAGCAGUACUCCUUGAAAAUCAGGCUAAGCUGCCAGCAAUUUUGAAGGGUUGCCUUAAGGAAAAACAAAGCAUCAUCUGCAAAGAAAAGAUGGGAGAGGACCGGGAAACUUCUGCUAAGGUGAAUACCAAGGAGGGAUCCAUCCGUUACUGCUCUAGUUAAUCUGAGGGAUAGUACCUCGCUGACCAAUAGGAACACGUAUGGUGAUAGAGGGUCUCCCUGCCUUAGACCUCUGCAAGGAUAAAAGAAAUUCCCUGGGUUCCCAUUAAGAACAAUUGAGAACGAUACAGUAGUGACACAAGACAUAAUGAGGUUCACCCAUACUCUACUAAAGCCAAAAUUCAGUAAAGCAUCUUCCAAGAAAUCCCAAUCCACUCAGUAAAGCAUUAUUAUGUUAGUUACGAGUUGUUGUUGUUGUUUUAAAUUCUAAGUUGUAAUUUUCUGUUAAUCAAGAGGAUCCUUUAUGUUUAUGCAUAUAUUGUUCUUUUUUUAACCCUCUCA